AUUGAACGCUGGCGGCAGGCCUAACACAUGCAAGUCGAGCGAGCGGCGGACGGGUGAGUAAUGUAUGGGGACUGCCCGAUAGAGGGGGAUAACUACUGGAAACGGUAGCUAAUACCGCAUACUAUCGGAUAACCCAUAUGGGAUUAGCUAGGAGGUGAGGUCAUGACUCACCUAGGCGACGAUCCCUUGCUGGUCGUAGAGGAUGAGCAGCAACACUGGGACUGGGACACGGCCCAGAUUCCGACGGAGGCAGCAGUGGGUAAUAUUGCACAAUGGGCUCAAGCCUGAUGCAGCCAUGCCGCUUGUAUGACGAAGGCCCUAGGGUUGUAAAUUACUUUCAGUCGGGAGGCGUUACCGACAGAAGAAGCACCGGCUAACUCCGUGCCAGCAGCCGCGGUAAUUC
rnacentral:rRNA from 1 species